UCUUCUUCAGUCUGUACUUCAAUAUAGAAACUGUCUCAGAGACAAGCUUCUCUGAGGAGCAGUCUUAGGUUCCCUGCCUUGGUUGCAAGUUCUUUGAGCCUGUUUCUCCUAUUUACGACUACAUCCUGUGCCUUUCAUGGUCCUCUGCUCACAGCAGAUGCUCAGUGAACAUUUGCUGAGAGGAUGACUGGAUGAGUUGAUAAUCCUAAAUGGCACCCUCAGGGCCACAAGGCAGGAAACCGGAGGGAGAGCAUGGACAGAUGGGGGUACACUGGAGAUUUGAUUUUGGAGUUGGAGAGGUUUUUCACAGUGACAUUGCUCAAGGGCCGGCCGAGUGGCGCGAUGGUUAAGAACUCGCUUG